CAUUCUCCCUGAGAUGAUAAAAUGGCUCACCUCACCCCAGGGUGUUUGGCUAAUCACGGCUAAAUUAUUUUUAAAGUGCUGUUAAUGUUAAUGAUAGGCUUUAAUAAGCACUCCUUUUAAUGUUUAUGUUUUUUUUUCCCUUUAGCCUAAGCUGGUGGAGGCCAGGGCUGUUUUGCAAGAAAUAAAUCGUGUUAUAUGCUGCCUACUACAUCAUUGGUAGAAAGCAAUGGAAGAAUACUGAAGAUACAGGUGGGGGGAUUCAUUGAAAAACCCAACUUGACCUGGGAAUCACAAAGGCAAGAAACAGGCUGGAAUGACCGAGGCGCCUAUUUAAUUUGAAUGUCCCAGCCCGGACCCACGGAAUGAGCAUGCCCAGAAUACCCUGAACACUAGGGCCGAAGAGCAUAUUGUUUGAAA